AGAGUUUGAUCAUGGCUCAGAGUGAACGCUGGCGGCGUGCUUAACACAUGCAAGUCGCACGAGAACGCUUCUGCUUGCAGAGGCUAGUAAAGUGGCGCACGGGUGAGUAACACGUGGGUAAUCUACCUCCGAAUUGGGGAUAACGUUGCGAAAGCGACGCUAAUACCGGAUAAUAUCCUUUGGCCCUCGGGUCUUUGGAUCAAAGGUGGCCUCUUCAUGAAAGCUAUUGUUUGGAGAUGAGCCCGCGUCCCAUUAGCUUGUUGGUGGGGUAACGGCCUACCAAGGCUACGAUGGGUAGCUGGUCUGAGAGGAUGAUCAGCCACACUGGAACUGACACACGGUCCAGACUCCUACGGGAGGCAGCAGUGAGGAAUUUUGCGCAAUGGGGGAAACCCUGACGCAGCAACGCCGCGUGAGUGAUGAAGGCCUUCGGGUCGUAAAGCUCUGUCAAGUGGGAAGAACCUGCAGGUGGCUAAUAUCCAUUUGCACUGACGGUACCACUGAAGGAAGCACCGGCUAACUCCGUGCCAGCAGCCGCGGUAAUACGGGGGGUGCAAGCGUUACUCGGAAUCAUUGGGCGUAAAGGGCGCGUAGGCGGCCUGGUAAGUCAGAUGUGAAAGCCCGGGGCUCAACCCCGGAAGUGCAUUUGAUACUGUCAGGCUUGAGUAUGGGAGAGGGAAGUGGAAUUCCUGGUGUAGAGGUGAAAUUCGUAGAUAUCAGGAGGAACACCGGUGGCGAAGGCGACUUCCUGGACCAAUACUGACGCUGAUGCGCGAAGGCGUGGGGAGCAAACAGGAUUAGAUACCCUAGUAGUCC
rnacentral:rRNA from 1 species